rnacentral:rRNA from 1 species
UACAGAGGUCUCAAGCGUUGUUCGGAUUCAUUGGGCGUAAAGAGCUCGUAGGCGGUUUGUUGCGUCUAUCGUGAAAACCUGCAGCUUAACUGUGGGCUUGCGGUGGAUACGGGCAGACUUGAGUUCGGUAGGGGAGACUGGAAUUCCUGGUGUAGCGGUGAAAUGCGCAGAUAUCAGGAGGAACACCGGUGGCGAAGGCGGGUCUCUGGGCCGAUACUGACGCUGAGGAGCGAAAGCGUGGGGAGCGAACAGG